rnacentral:snoRNA from 1 species
GUCCCCUCAGGGUCGCACCUGGAGAGUUUCCAGUACUCUACCAGUCUCGACUACAGAAGGAAGCUUCAAGCAGAGGUCUACCCAUUCCAUUCCUAGCUUGGGCAGUGGCUAGUGAGUGGAAGGCAAUCUUCUACAAGU